rnacentral:misc_RNA from 1 species
AUCACCUCUCAAGCCUGGCUUGCUGUUGGACUUUAGGUAUUGCUUAGGCAUAACCGGUCUCAAAGAUAAUGAGGCGUCUGUUAGGACCCUAGUACACUGAGCUAUCUUUUAGCACGUAUUGGAGGGACUUCAGGCCCGGUCUUACUUAUAAUUUAAACAAGGUUGACCUCGGAUCAGGUAGGAAUACCCGCUGAACUUAA